rnacentral:rRNA from 1 species
AGUCGAACGAUGAAAGCUGGAGCUUGCUCUAGCUGGAUUAGUGGCGAACGGGUGAGUAACACGUGAGCAAUCUGCCCUGGACUCUGGGAUAACCCCGAGAAAUCGGAGCUAAUACCGGAUACGACACCUCCCGGCAUCGGGUGGGUGUGGAAAGAAUUUCGGUCAAGGAUGAUCUCGCGGCCUAUCAGCUAGUUGGUGAGGUAACGGCUCACCAAGGCGACGACGGGUAGCCGGCCUGAGAGGGUGACCGGCCACACUGGGACUGAGACACGGCCCAGACUCCUACGGGAGGCAGCAGUGGGGAAUAUUGCACAAUGGGCGCAAGCCUGAUGCAGCAACGCCGCGUGAGGGAUGAAGGCCUUCGGGUUGUAAACCUCAUUUAGCAGGGAAGAAGCGAAAGUGACGGUACCUGCAGAAAAAGCACCGGCUAACUACGUGCCAGCAGCCGCGGUAAUACGUAGGGUGCAAGCGUUGUCCGGAAUUAUUGGGCGUAAAGAGCUCGUAGGCGGUUUGUCACGUCUGCUGUGAAAAUCCAAGGCUCAACCUUGGACUUGCAGUGGGUACGGGCAGGCUAGAGUGCGGUAGGGGAGAUGGGAAUUCCUGGUGUAGCGGUGGAAUGCGCAGAUAUCAGGAGGAACACCAAUGGCGAAGGCACAUCUCUGGGCCGUAACUGACGCUGAGGAGCGAAAGCGUGGGUAGCAAACAGGAUUAGAUACCCUGGUAGA